rnacentral:lncRNA from 1 species
AUGUGGCCCACACUGUGCUUUGCUGAGGCUCAUUACCUUUCCUUGUUUCAGAGUGCAGUGAUGAUUCCACUCUUUUUGGGUGCUGAUAUCCUCUCCAACACUGACACCCGGGUAGAGAACCACCCAAGGUACCAUGCCAAGUUUUCCAAGAAAGAACUUGCCACAAAAAUAAAAUUCUCCUCAGCUUUUAGGUUUCAGGGAUUGAAGGUGUCUAGUGCAGAUAACAGUCUGUGGUUUUACAGCAUUCAGGGGCUUUUUCGAGUUGCAUUUGAAAUGUACAGCAAGCAAGACCAGCUUGCCGUGUUGGACAACUUACAAGAUAUUUGGAAAUCACAUAUCAGUGACAGCCCAUUAAAACCCUAUUACCACCUGAAUGUGCAGCACGACUCAUCAGCGCCUCUCAGCAUUUCGGAUAUGCCAUCAAAACACAAACCCUCAGUUUGUCAGACUGACAGAGAAAUGACAGUUGCAUGUGGCACCCAAACAUCUGAUACUUCGGCAGAUCACGACUAUUGUUCUUCAGGAGCCGGUAUCCACAAUGAAAGAACACAGUUACUUGUGUCAACACUCAGACAAAAGUUGCGCAGCUUAGAAGAACAGCUCUUGUCUCCAUCCCAAAGCUGUGCAGAACAACUCAACACCAUCUUGCUCCUUGUGGAGAGCAUUGCUCGGUACAUGAAAGGGACUCUAGAAGAAAAGGAUGCAGCUGUUACUAUUUUAGCCCUGCUCAAGGCUAAAGACUGGACAAAGGACUCUGCAUAUUCAAGUUACCUGCUUACCUCCAUAGGCCGUUGGCUUGGGGAGCAGUUUCAUGCAGCCAACAGCAGCAUUAGUCACAGAGUGGAGGGCUUUAAAGUUCAGCAUAUAGAAAGAAUAAGUGAUCUGCCGCCUGCUGAGGAGCUGGCCAAAGAACUGUUUCCUGAAGCAAUGCAAACUCUGCUGCUUCAUUGGAUGGGUUUAUGUGAGGAGUCAACCCUAGAAAAAAGGCACAGUGAAUUUCCAAUUUUGCUCCUUAUCCUGGAGUUUGCUAACCAUAACCUCAUAACCGGCGUUGCACAUGUGCUUUAUUCAAGCUUAAUAUGCAAAUAA